AAAAGCCCCUUCAGGGGAGUGUCAAUAAUGUCAAUGAAUCAAUUAAUCAACAAUGAACAACAAUGUAUAUUGGCACCACCUGUUAUCCUGACAACUUCUAUGCAUCUACCAUGUUCUUGCAUGCCUGCUAAAGUUUAAUAUGAACUAUCAAGAAGAUUUGGAACCCGAAAUGUUUUAACAAGAACACAGAGAUGGAUUUACUGGGGGGAUGGGGUGUGCACCCCCUAGCCCUGGCCAGAGGGGGUGCAGGAGGGGGUCCUAUUUUUCAUGAUAAACAAAAAAUUAUUAGAAACAAAAUGAGAUACAGAAAUUUGAGUAAUAAUAUGAU